UACGGGGGGGGCAAGCGUUGUUCGGAAUUAUUGGGCGUAAAGAGCUCGUAGGCGGCUUGUCGCGUCGGAUGUGAAAGCCCGGGGCUUAACCCCGGGUCUGCAUUCGAUACGGGCAGGCUAGAGUUCGGUAGGGGAGAUCGGAAUUCCUGGUGUAGCGGUGAAAUGCGCAGAUAUCAGGAGGAACACCGGUGGCGAAGGCGGAUCUCUGGGCCGAUACUGACGCUGAGGAGCGAAAGCGUGGGGAGCGAACAGG
rnacentral:rRNA from 1 species